GGUUGAUCCUGCCAGUAGUCAUAUGCUUGUCUCAAAGAUUAAGCCAUGCAUGUCUCAGUGUAAACUUUUAAACAGUGAAACUGCGAAUGGCUCAUUAUAACAGUUAUAGUUUAUUUGAUGGUCACUUGCUACAUGGAUAACCGUGGGAAUUCUAGGGCUAAUACAUGCAUAAAUACCCAACUUCUGGAAGGGUAGUGUUUAUUAGAUUAAAAGCCAACACCGUGCUUGCACGGAUCCGUUGGAAUGAUAAUAACCGAUCGAAUCGCAUACCUUUAUGGUGGCGAUAUAUCAUU
rnacentral:rRNA from 1 species